UACGUAGGGCGCAAGCGUUAUCCGGAAUUAUUGGGCGUAAAGAGCUCGUAGGCGGCCUGUCGCGUCGGGAGUGAAAGCCCACUGCUUAACGGUGGGUCUGCUUCCGGUACGGGCGGGCUGGAGUAUGGCAGGGGAGACUGGAAUUCCUGGUGUAGCGGUGGAAUGCGCAGAUAUCAGGAGGAACACCGGUGGCGAAGGCGGGUCUCUGGGCCGGAUACUGACGCUGAGGAGCGAAAGCGUGGGGGAGCGAACAGG
rnacentral:rRNA from 1 species